GCCACAACCAUAUCACCCUGCAGCCCAAGAUUGGUUACCCACUGAAGCUAAGCAGGGUUGAGCCUGGUCAGUACCUGGAUGGGAGAUCUCCUAGGGAAAACUAGGUUGCUGCUGGAA
rnacentral:rRNA from 1 species